rnacentral:lncRNA from 1 species
UCUUCAAUCUGAUGUCUCCUUUCUCGGCUGUAAUCUCACUGAGUCUUGCUUGUGUUAAGCUGAAUUUAACUUAUUUCAUUACAUUCUGAAUGGAGAUAUAUGUAUAUAAUGUUACACUACGGUAAUAAGUUUCAAAUAACUAAACCAUUCAAGAUAUCGUUAGAUGUGAAAAUUACAAUAGAUUGAUUGAACUUUAACACUUGACAACAAGGACGUUUUACGCGACUUGGGCUACAUGAUUUAAAAUGUUACAUUCUUUUUUCGAUAACGUGAAAGAAUAAUGAAAAUUGUCUUUUUCUCUGAGAAAAAGAAAAAAAUACACAACCCUAAUUGGAAUUGGUAAGGUUAGAAGAAAUAGUCUAACAGUCAAAUUAAUAAAUUAUCUAUCUAUAAUAUUAAAGGUUCUAAAAGGUGAUAUGUACCUUCAAGGCAUUUAAUGGCAGGUGUUAUAAUGGUGUUCAUCAACAUAACGUUAUUGUCAAGCCUCAAAACAGUAAAACUUAAUGUCUCAUAAUACAACUGAAUUGAGUCGUCUGUCACCCACUUAUUUUCUAAUACUGAUAGAGCAAUUGAGAACGUAUCAUCAGUAUUAUAUUACUCGUUACAAAUCAAUACUUACAAUCAAAACAUCCAAAAAUGAGACUAUAUAAAAUUAUAUUUUAUAAUCCUUUACUGAUACUCCUUCCGCUCGGUGAUUGGUCCAUGACCAAUUGAUUGUUCAUCCAAUGGAGACUAUGUCAGAUGGAACUGUAAAUAAAUCUCUUUAUGGCGAAUUCUUGACUCGUCGAUUCAACUAAAAUCCAUUAUGGAUCUAAAACUCCUUGAACAAAACCUUGACAAAAGCAGUCUUUCGACAUGAAGAUCUUCAGACAAUACUCACGUUUUUCUUCAUUCUUCGAAGAAAUCAACUGCUAUACUAAUUUUUGUGAUAUCCUGCAAACAACUGAAUAAUACUCGUUCUGGAUAUCUAGCUAAGAAACAUGACUGAUUCUCUUAACUAUGUAAGAAACAAACAAAGAUAAGUUUUUAUUUAUUUUAUGUUUUUAGUUUGGUAUUUUUCUCUGGACAGUCUAGUUAUUUUAAUGUAUCAAUGGAAUUGUGAUACAAACAAAAAAUUGUAUUGCAAUACUCGUUAUUUUAACAAGUGUAACCAACACAGUCCUUAAUCCCAAUGCCCCCUUAGGUAGGUUGUAAGUUGAGCGAUAUUAAAUAAAUAAAUACAAUUUUUUGUCAUUCUACAGAAAGCAUUUACAAAGUCUUAUUAUACAUCUAAGAGACAUAGUCAAAACAGUAAGUAUUAUUAUAAUAGACUUUUUUACAUAUAUGUUUUAUAUUAAUAUCAUAAUGCAGAAAAAUAGUAAAUAGUUAUACUUUAUAAAACUAAACUAUCUCAAAGUUAAUGUCUUUCAUACUGAAAAACUCUGACAAAUCAUAAAAUGGGUAUUUGAGAAGCCAGUUGUACAGUAUGGUUUUGUUGGAUCAUUAUUAACCAGACAUUGUAAUUUUUUGUGAUUAUGUUGAGUAAUUAUAACAUGACUAUGUUGUUUUUGCCUAAUCUACAAUGCUCAAUAACAAUAUUAUUUUUAUUUCUGGUAUUAUAAUUAUGCAAGUUGCUAGUCAAAAUGAAUGAUGUUAUGUUUUUUUAAAUAUAUAAUACUGGUCAAAAAUAUAUAAAUUAAUAACAGUUUGCAAGUACUCAAGCUUAAUAAAAAAUGGUUUACAGUGUUCUAGUGUUUGUGAUUUUGUUAUUACUCUGAUAGCUUUCUUUUGCAAGACAAGGAUGUCAUUAAUUGUAGCACUAUUACCCCAUAAUACUAGGCCAUAUUUGAUUAUUGAUUGAAAAUUGAAAAAUAUUUUACAUAGUUUUCAGUUACACAAUUUAUAAUACAUCUAAGUAAAAAAAUACUAUAGACAAUAUUUUUUAAAUAUAUUUAAUAUGAGAAUUCCAUGUUAAAUUAUUGUCAAUAAAUAUUCUUAGAAAUUUAGCACAAGAAAAGAAAUUAUUUGAUGCGUUAACGGAAGAGGUUUGUCGUAAGGUAAACUGAGUUUUGACUUCAUUUAGUAAAAAUCCAUUUGAUUUACUAAAAAUCCAUUUGAUUUAGUAAAAAUCCAUUUGAUUUUAUAAAAAUCAACACUGUGGCUUCUUCAACUGUUUCAUUGACAAGAACUUGUAGUUUGUCAAAGUCUAUAUGGAUAUGUAAAAGAGUGCGUCGUCAGUAUAUAAAAGAGAUUUGGCCUUAACAGCACUAGGAAAAUCAUUUAUAUGUAAUAAAAAUAGAAUAUGGCCCAGGACAGACCCUUGAGGUACACCAUUCCUGAUCAUCAUUUCGUUGGACAAGUUUUCAUUAACACAAACUUUUUGCCUGCGAUUAGAUAGUCCAACUAAAUAGUCUUUAAAGAACUUAGCUGAACUCUCAGUAAUACCAUAAUAGUUCAGUUUUAAGAUCAGUUCAUCAUGGUCAACACAGUCGAAGGUCAAAAAAAUGUGUACUCUCAAAAGGGUACCUCCUUAAUUGUGAAUCAACUGCAUCAGUGGUGUAUAUACCUCUUCUAAAACCAAAUUGUGAUAAAUUUAGAUAGUUUUUAUUUUCUAGAUACCCAACAAGUUGAUCAUGUACUACAACUUCUAUUAUUUUAGAUAGGUCAUGUAUAAUUGAUACCGAGUGAUAGCUCAGGAAGAUUUCUAGACCCUUUCUUAAAAAUACUUUCUCUCAUAUGUUUAUUAAUACACACAGUUAAUGGAUUCAAAAAAUAUGGUAUAUGCGUUUAAAUAUAUUGUUAGAUAAGUUAAAAAUGUCUUUGCUUUUUGAGUUUUUAAAUCUUUUGACAGCUUUAAUAAUCCAUCAGUUGAGACAUCUACAAACAAAUGCUUUCCUUUCAAUACGGUAAUUUCUUAUUAAGCUUAUACUAUUAACAUGAGGCUUUUUGAUAUUAUCCUUUAUUUGCUUAACCAAAUUGAUAAACAAAUUGUUAAAGUUAUCUGGUUAAAGUUAUAAAUAUCACUAUAUUUAUAUUUGAUUGAGAUGAUAAAUUGUUUUUAUUUACCUUGAUAAAAUCCCAGAUGGCCUUAUAUUUGUUACUGCUAUGUUCUAUUUUUGCCACUUUAUGAGUUCGCUUUGCAUCUUCUAUAGACUUUUUAUAACAUUUCCUGAAAUUCAUAUAGUCAGCACGAAGCCUGUCACAAGUAGAAUACUUUGUCAGUUUGUCCAAAAACAAGAGCCUUUCUUUCAUUUGGACCAGUUCCCCACUAUACCAAUCAUUUCGAUUUCAACCUUUGAUCCCUCUAACUGUGGAACGUUGUUUUUUCACUGUGAAGAAAAAUGCUAAUUUAUUAACUAAAAUGGAGAAAAAUGCUUGAAAGAAUUUUUGGGCAGAGAAUACUUAAAUUAAGUAUUCCAAUCAUGUGACAACAAAUUGUCAGAUCAUCAAUCAAGGAUUUUGGAAAAAAUUAUAACAAAAGGUGUCAUUUGUCCUUUGAAUUUAGCAAGGUUUUAGACAAAGUAUUGCUUUAAAUAUUUAAAAUACACCCAUUAUGAUCCGAGAAAGGAAAAUCAAAGAUGUUACAUGAAAUAACCUGAUCUGGGCAGUUUAAAAAAUUUCAAGAAAAUGGGCUCUCCGGGUUGGUUUGUUAUUGAUGCAAAAGAAGUUAUAUUAUUAAGACAACUUAAUAAGUUUAAAAAAUCUCUUGUUAAUUUUUGUGCAGUGUUAUGUCAACACUGGCAUUCAUGUCACUUAUAUUAAUAUUAAAUAGCCAAGGUAAUUAGAAAUAAAAGUUAAGAAUUCCUUUAGGGUUUCCAUGAAAAUACUUGGGUCACCCAAUGGAGAACGAUAUAUUUAAACUGCUUUAACUUUAAGAUCAUCAAUAACAGCUGUUGAUGCUUCAAAGUUUAGUUCAGAAUCUGGAUACAUCAAUCCUUUCUAAGCCAAGCAUUUUGUUAAUGAGAAAAGAGGUGCCACCUCUAAUACUAUCCUUUCUGCAAAUAAGCUGCACAAUAUAAAUUCUUUGGGCAAGCCAUAUUAGACAUACCAUUAUUAAGCCCAUGUUCAGAUAAGCAAAUAAUUGACAUUUUAUAAUUAUUUUGUUUGCUAUCAUGGAUAAAACUGUCUAAGAUUUCUAUUUUUUUUUACAGUCCUUUAUAUUUAAAUAUAAAUGUAUUAUUUGGGAAUUUUGUUGUUAAAGGUAAUAUACAAAUUUUUAACUUUUAAACUUCUUUUGUUAGCUGAUUCAUUUUGCAGAAAAAGUUCAUCUGUGCACAAAAAAUUCCUAAUACUAUCAAAAGUUCAGAGAUAUGAUUAUUUCCAAUCUAAACAUGAAGCAAGCAAAAUAGGUUGCCAACAAAGACAGUGUAUUUACUGUACAGUUAUGAGGCUGGUGGUAGCAAGUUUCCGGAAAAGUUGGUAUAUACAAAAUUUUGACAUAAAGGCUGACAAGUAAUGACCACCAAAGUCCUUGUAUUUUAAUACUCAUUAGGGAAUGAGAAGAUUCCUGCCAAAGACAUUGUAUUCUAGUCUAACAUGAAGUUGGUGAAGUAAGUUGCCAGUGAAGAUGAGAAAUGUUUGAAAAGACAACAUAAAGUCAACUUUUCAUCAGUCACGAGUUUUUGCCUUUGAUUCACAACUAAACUCUGACUGCACUAAACUCUACCAAAAGCCAGACGGUACGACUGCUAAAGUCCUUAUAUUCCGAACAACGUGUUCGGCUAGAGAUAGAACAGGUUCAAAUCCUUUUUGUGACCAGAGCACUUUUUAUCAGUACCAUUAACCUUGCACUAUUGAAUCUUACUGCUUGAUAAGAUCUUUGCACAGAUUAGUGUCCCCAUAAGGAUGGGCGCCUUAAAAGAGGAUCGACCUCUCCUUUGUUAAAAAGAAUCACAAAGCUAUUACAUUCCCAAGUCCAAUAUGAAGCUUGCAAAAUAGGUUGCUGACACAUAAAGUUCUAAUACCAAUAAGCCUAAAAGCUGAUGAAAUGGGCUUACCUGUGAAGGUAGUAAUUGUCAACCCUGACAUGAGACUGGUGGAAUAGGCUGUCAGUGAAGCUGGUGUACUACAAAAUCCCAAAACUUAUCUUGUGAGAAAUGGUUGUCAGUGACGCUAAAUUUUUUCCACAGUCAUCCUGAGUCUAACAAAAUAGUGUUGCCGAUAAAAUCAGUAUUACUUUGCAUGUUCACUUUCAUAAGAUGUAGUCAAAUUUAUGAUGAUACUUCUAAUAAUAGGCAUUGUACUGCUUGGUAACCAAAUUAUUAAUAUAACCUGAGAGUGAUGAAAAAGGAAUAGUAGUCUACCAAGGCCAGUCAGUGGUUACGAUCUAGAAGAUGAAUAGAUAGUUUACUUAGAAACUUAACUAUUUCCAAUACUUUUCUAAAGUUGAAUGUUAUAAGAAAUUCACAGGGAUCUAGGGUAUAUAAGUUUGUCAAAUCGAAGAAGUGGAUCAAUUAAGACUUUUCUGCUGUAAAGUUUUCUUUAUAAUACACUAACUUUAUCUAAACACAACAAAAGACCUUAUUUGGCUUG